GUAUAACUGUCGAAUUACCCGAUCAUUGAUGUAUAUCCUAGAAGGGGGUAAUUAAAAAAUUUAAAAACACCUCGAUAGACGGCAGGUGCCAGUAGAUUCAUUAAAUGGCGGAGCACACAUUGUCCUUGCCUUGUCUUUGUUGUUUACUCUUUGUGUUUUAUUUUCUCGGCAAACUUUGUAAUGUUCCCACAAUGUUGAACAUGUUGGCUUCUGCGUAAGCCUGAAAGUUGAUGUACACUUGCUGAUUC